UACGUAGGGGGCAAGCGUUGUCCGGAAUCAUUGGGCGUAAAGAGCGCGUAGGCGGUCCGGUAAGUCGGUUGUGAAAACUGGGGGCUCAACCCUCAGAGGCCGACCGAUACUGUCGGGCUAGAGUCCGGAAGAGGCGAGUGGAAUUCCUGGUGUAGCGGUGAAAUGCGUAGAUAUCUGGAGGAAUACCGGUGGCGAAGGCGGCAUCCUGGACCGACAUUGACGCUGAUGAGCGAAAGCUAGGGGAGCAAACGGG
rnacentral:rRNA from 1 species